rnacentral:lncRNA from 1 species
UGGAAAUAUAUGUUCUAGUCAUCAAGAUAGUUAUUCUUAUAACUUCAUCAUAUAAUGUUAUCUACAUAUUAUUGUAACUUUUUACAGUAUUUAAAUUAUUCGUAAGAAACGUUCAGGGUUUUUGAAUAAAAAGUCCCAUGAAUGAGCUUCUUACACCGCCGUGGAGAUAAUUAAAAUAAUUAAUUCCAUAAAUAUUUCUUGUUUGAGUCCAAACAUGAUUACCCUUGUUUACAGUGCAAAGUAUAUUUCUGGUUGAAGCAAAAAUUCCUGCUCCUGAUCCUAUAUGCAUUAACUGCUUUCCUUUAACAACGUUGUCGACUCUUAGGUCCGUUUGUACAUUUU